rnacentral:rRNA from 1 species
UAGGGAAUCUUCGGCAAUGGACGAAAGUCUGACCGAGCAACGCCGCGUGAGUGAAGAAGGUUUUCGGAUCGUAACACUCUGUUGUUAGAGAAGACCAAGGACGUUAGUAACUGAACGUCCCCUGACGGUAUCUAACCAGAAAGCCACGGCUAACUACGUGCCAGCAGCCGCGGUACUACGUAGGUGGCAAGCGUUGUCCGGAUUUAUUGGGCGUAACGCGAGCGCAGGCGGUUUCUUAUGUCUGAUGUGAAAGCCCCCGGCUCAACCGGGGAGGGUCAUUGGACACUGGGAGACUUGAGUGCAGAAGAGGAUAGUAGAAUUCCAUGUGUAGCGGUGAAAUGCGUAGCUAUAUGGAGGAACACCAGUGGCGAAGGCGGCUCUCUGGUCUGUAACUGACGCUGAGGCUCGAAAGCGUGGGGAGCAAACAGG